UACAGAGGUCUCAAGCGUUGUUCGGAUUCAUUGGGCGUAAAGGGUGUGUAGGUGGCGCCGUAAGUCGGGUGUGAAAUCUCGGGGCUUAACUCCGAAACUGCAUUCGAUACUGCGGUGCUUGAGGACUGGAGAGGAGACUGGAAUUCAUGGUGUAGCAGUGAAAUGCGUAGAGAUCAUGAGGAACACCAGUGGCGAAGGCGGGUCUCUGGACAGUUCCUGACACUGAGACACGAAGGCCAGGGGAGCAAACGGG
rnacentral:rRNA from 1 species